rnacentral:rRNA from 1 species
GAUGAACGCUGGCGGCGUGCUUAACACAUGCAAGUCGAACGAUGAAGCCCAGCUUGCUGGGUGGAUUAGUGGCGAACGGGUGAGUAACACGUGAGUAACCUGCCCUUGACUCUGGGAUAAGCCUGAGAAACUGGGUCUAAUACUGGAUAUGACUUCUCAUCGCAUGGUGGGGGGUGGAAAGAUUUAUUGGUCUUGGAUGGACUCGCGGCCUAUCAGCUUGUUGGUGAGGUAAUGGCUCACCAAGGCGACGACGGGUAGCCGGCCUGAGAGGGUGACCGGCCACACUGGGACUGAGACACGGCCCAGACUCCUACGGGAGGCAGCAGUGGGGAAUAUUGCACAAUGGGCGCAAGCCUGAUGCAGCGACGCCGCGUGAGGGAUGACGGCCUUCGGGUUGUAAACCUCUUUCAGUAGGGAAGAAGCGAGAGUGACGGUACCUGCAGAAGAAGCGCCGGCUAACUACGUG